UGGUAUGCACUGGCUUCGCUGAUUCCUCCUUUCUGAAGAACCGUAAUGCCAUUAAUUUGGUGUUGCAGGGAAACAGGACUGUUACUUUGAAAAAAUUAGAGUGUUUAAAGCAGGCUAAGGCUUGAAUACAUUAGCAUGGAAUAAUGAAAUAGGACGUUCGAUCCUAUUUUGUUGGUUUCUAGGAUUGACGUAAUGAUUAAUAGGGAUAGUUGGGGGCAUUAGUAUUCAAUUGUCAGAGGUGAAAUUCUUGGAUUUAUUGAAGACUAACUACUGCGAAAGCAUUUGCCAAGGAUGUUUUCAUUAAUCAAGAACGAAAGUUAGGGGAUCGAAGACGAUCAGAUACCGUCGUAGUCUUAACCAUAAACUAUGCCGACUAGGGAUCGGAUGAUGUUAAUUUUUUAAUGACUCAUUCGGCGCCUUACG
rnacentral:rRNA from 1 species